GUGAGGAAUAUUGGUCAAUGGACGAGAGUCUGAACCAGCCAAGUCGCGUGAAGGAAGACGGUUCUAUGAAUUGUAAACUUCUUUUGUGCAGGAAUAAAGUGGGUUACGUGUAACCUUUUGUAUGUACUGUACGAAUAAGGAUCGGCUAACUCCGUGCCAGCAGCCGCGGUAAUACGGAGGAUCCGAGCGUUAUCCGGAUUUAUUGGGUUUAAAGGGUGCGUAGGUGGAUUGAUAAGUCAGCGGUGAAAGUUUGCAGCUUAACUGUAAAAUUGCCGUUGAAACUGUCGGUCUUGAGUGCAAAUGAGGUAGGCGGAAUGUGUUGUGUAGCGGUGAAAUACCUAGAUAUAACACAGAACUCCGAUUGCGAAGGCAGCUUACUGGGAUGCAACUGACACUGAUGCACGAAAGCGUGGGUAUCAAACAGGAUUAGAAACCCCAGUAGUCC
rnacentral:rRNA from 1 species